AUUGAACGCUGGCGGCAGGCCUAACACAUGCAAGUCGAACGAGUGGCGGACGUGUGAGUACUGUCUGGGACACUGCCUGUUGGAGGGGGAUACUUACUGGAAACGUUAGCUAAUACCGCAUACCUUCGGAUGUGCCCAGAUGGGCUUAGCUUGCCGGUGGGGUAACGGCUCACCAAGGCGACGAUCCCUAGCUGGUCUGAGCGGAUGACCAGCAACACUGGAACGGAGACACGGUCCAGACUCCAACGGGAGGCAGCAGAGGGGAAUAUUGGACAAUGGGCGAAAGCCGGAUACAGCCAUGCGGCGUGUAGGAAGAAGGCCUUCGGGUUGUAAAGUACUUUCAGCGGGGAGGCGUUACCCGCAGAAGAAGCACCGGCUAACUCCGUGCCAGCAGCCGCGGUAAUAC
rnacentral:rRNA from 1 species